rnacentral:misc_RNA from 1 species
UUAAGUUCAGCGGGUCUUCCUACCUGAUCCGAGGUCAACCUUGGGUAAAUAAGGCUUUUAACGGCCGGAACCCGCAGCACGCCCUGAGCGAGAUGUAUUACUACGCUCGGAGUGACUAGCGAGCCCGCCACUUCCUUUCAGGGCCUACGGCAGCCGUAGGGCCCCAACACCAAGCCAGGCUUGAGGGUUGAAAUGACGCU